AGGCUGAAAACCCGGAAGUGCCGAAGCCCAGAAGUGCCGGAAAGAGAACGCGCGCAAUUGGUGUGCAUUCCAAUAUGCGUUCUAGAACUGGAACAUGCAACACAGAGGGGAAAAAAAGUGAAAGGGAGAAGAAAAGGCAAUGAAAAGCCCCCCGGUCAGGCAAAAUAUUUACAGGAACUGCCACUUAUAUCAACAGGUGAAAAGCCUUCAUGGGAAAGCCAAGAUGCCCAACUUAUGCAGCAAGUAGGUGUACCCUUCUUUGAGAAUUACUACCACAAUGGGUCUGGCACAUCCAGCUGCUACCCAUAGGGUCACUGCAGCAUAGCUCCCCGGUCGCUGAGGGGCGAAUCCUCCAGGGGGUCGCCCGUGCUGAGGUGCCGUGUCCGGAGGCUUCCAUGGGGAGAGAGGCUGAAGUCCCCAUGGGCAAGGGGUACAAUUAGACCCGAGUAAGCCACAAAAUAAAAAAGAGGAGAUGAAACAUCCUAUAGUCAUGAGAAGUGGACAGGAAAAAUUUAGAAGGUGGUUCCUGUCCAAUUGAGAAGGGGAGGAGCUAUACCC